UCGCCUCAGUUGCCAGCAUCGGUUGGGGCACGUCUAGAGGGACUGCCGGCGACAAGUCGGAGGAAGGUGGGGAUGACGUCAAAUCAUCAUGCCCCUUAUGACCUGGGCUACACACGUGCUACAAUGGGCGGUACAAAGGGCUGCGAACCCGCGAGGGGGAGCGAAUCCCAAAAAGCCGCUCUCAGUUCGGAUUGCAGGCUGCAACUCGCCUGCAUGAAGCCGGAAUCGCUAGUAAUCGCGGAUCAGCAUGCCGCGGUGAAUACGUUCCCGGGCCUU
rnacentral:rRNA from 1 species